rnacentral:rRNA from 1 species
UACGGAAGGGGCAAGCGUUGUUCGGAAUCAUUGGGCGUAAAGGGCGCGUAGGUGGUUUUGUAUGUCUCCCGUGAAAGGCCACGGCUCAACUGUGGGGUGUCGGGAGAAACUGCAGGACUUGAGGCUGGGAGGGGCUGGUGGAAUUCCCUGUGUAGCGGUGAAAUGCGUAGAGAUGGGGGAGAACACUCGUGGCGAAGGCGGCCAGCUAGACCAGUUCUGACACUGAGGCGCGACAGCGUGGGGAGCAAACAGGAUUAGAAACCCGCGUAGUCC